UAGAGAAGCUGAACCCGCGAUAGAAAAGCCUCAGGCCUGGGGAGGUCUUGACGGGCUGAGGUGCUAGAGAGAGUUUCGCGUCGUAAAGAAAGCAAGUACCUGCCCAUGUACGGAAGUGUCGGCGGGAUCCUGGAGGCGAUGGGGCGAUGCCUUUUUUAAGGAUGCACGGGGGACCAAGGGAAGGGGAAGUUUCCCCAGAAAGCUCUCUAACUCAGAAUGCCCACCAUCCAUACUCUGGAGGACAAAGACGGCCGUUCACCGGUGUCUGUAAGCAUUUGACACGUGGGAAUACGCAACUGCUGCACUUCAGGGCACCUGCUCAUGGGAUUUAGUUUUACCGUUGUUGUGGAUACCCAUGGAAUGCUAGCUUGUCACCUAGAUUCUAUUAGAACAUCAACAAUGUCAGCCAUCGCAUCUGCCUUUUAGAAUCUCGUUGUGUAGGUGAGGACUCUGAAGGUUAAGAGAUUUGUUCAGAAUUAUUUAGCUGGUUGGGGGCAGAACUUGGACAAGGACCCUUGCAAGGUUGCUAACUCAUAAUUCUAGGAAAAUGCUUCCUUUUCUGCAGCUUCUCUCCCCUCCCCCCCCCAAAAAGACAAUAAAUUCUUUAAAAUCAAGAUUACAGAUUUUAAAAUUAACUUGCAUUAAGACCAACCCCGAGGAAUUUGAUUUUGAUAUAGCAAGCAGUGUCGAUACUAUGAAAAUAACUCAGUGUCUCAAGUCCCUAUUUUACUUCAACCAACUCUUGGAAAAGUUCCAGUUUCAUCCAAACAAGAAAUGAAAACACCAUAUAAUUUAUUAUA